AUGAAAAGAAGCGUUUGUGUCAAUCUGUGUCGCAGAGAAGUGUUGGCACAUCCUUCGGUUAACGACUUUCACACGUAUCUGCAGGCAGCAAAGGAAACGCUCAGGGUUCCUGCAGUUGUCAAGCCUGUGAGCUGUUGAGAUUUGACCCCCCCUGCUCCAACUCCUAGAGGACGCUUUCACAUGCAAAUGACAAUGCUCUGAGCUUCACAAAUGCAAAUCAGUUUCCCUGAGAGCAGAUAACACCAAUGUGUAAGAGGCACCAACAAACUAUCUGGCUGAGUAAACCAGGCUUAAAAUAAAUAUUAAACCUGAAAUUUUAAAUUGUUCUUAAGUAAGUAAGUGUGCUAUAAUGAAUUAUAUUGUAUACCACGAACAAAGGUCAAUGCAGUCAAAAGAAAUGAAACAAUGCACUUUAUUUCAAAUUUUUAUUGUCAUCCAAAACAAUCCUAAAUCUCAACAACUGUAUAGAGUGGCAUGAUUACAGUCACUUUUUCAAUUGUGCUGGUUAAAUGCACAGAGGAAGUGUAAACCACACCUCUACCAGCAAAUAAAUGAUGCUGGGUAUGAUCAUCUGUGUCCUGUAAGCUCCAAACUUCUACUGGCUUUCCAUAAAAAUAUCUGUCCUCCCAAAAUACUGGCAUCAAAUUCACAUGUCAAUGGCAAACUAAGCUGUUCCAUGAAUUAUAAAUGGUACCUUUUCACCACUACUUUCAAAAUUGCUAUGAAACAUUCAUUGAUUUAAUGAUUUAUUUUUUCAGUGUAAUAUUUAAUCCCCCAUGGACUGCACAGUGACAAAACACAGCAGCCGGCUGUUUGGAUACAACAUACAUCUCCACUCAGUUUGAUUAUUAUUUUAAAUAUAAAGGAGACACAAUAUAGAGCUUAAAUUCCUUCAUAAUUUGAACUUCAAUUGUCUAAUUGUUGUUAUUAAACUUUCUCAGUAUUCCAUUAAAACAGUCAACACUUUUAUCCAAAGCGACUUACAAUAAGUGCAUUCAACUAUAAGGUUACGAACACAGAACAGCAUGAGUGAAUCAUGUGUGUAAAUUUACUAAACACCACAAAAAAUAAACCUGGCCUCAGUCAAAUACUUAUCCCACGAAGUAACCGCUGCUCACGUCACCCGCUCGCGUCAUCAGCUGAUGGACUCGUCCAAUCAGAGCCUCGUAAACGCCGUGCAGCAGCGUCGAGUGUCCCGCAGACAGGAAGCGGGUCGUGUUUAGCUUGUCCCGUACGAGUGACUCUGUUCUCGGGGUAAAUAACUUGCUGAAGUUGACACGACGCUGUUCCCUGGAGGAGAAGAUGAGUGCGUGGGAAGCAGAGCCGCGGGCCCGGUGUGGACGAGUCGAGGCGGAGAAGACGGAUGCACAGUCCCUGAGUUACGCCUCAGCCCCCCCCCCCACACACACAAACAAAGAGGCGUUAGGCUGAGACGCUGAAAGUCCGGAUUUAAAGUGCAGAAAAUUAAGCCAUUGAAUCUGCCUGUCCAUGACGUACAAAGACACACUAUGAGCCAGUAUGAUCCGACCAGACCUUACAUCAGCAUUGAGGAGUUGUCGGAGAAGAAAGAGGCUGAUUGAAGCGGGACAGAUGACAUGGAUCCAUCCUUCCACAGCCAGGAGCACACUGACCUGUGUCCCACACUUCAUAUAAGACUGGAAGCUACACUGGAUCUCACAGCUACACACCACAGACGUCCACACACUGGAGAAGAUUCAGACAGUCCCACAAAGAAGUUAUGACCCAGAGGCUGCAGAGAAACAUUUCAAGCCUCACCUGAGAUUUUGUACAAUAUUUUUGCUGUAUGUAAAUAAAGCUUUCACUCCA